AGCUAGCGGACGAGUCCCAAAUAUGACGAAAUGCGCAUCCUGGAU
rnacentral:hammerhead_ribozyme from 1 species